rnacentral:rRNA from 1 species
UACGUAGGGUCCGAGCGUUGUCCGGAAUUAUUGGGCGUAAAGAGCUCGUAGGCGGUUUGUCGCGUCUGCUGUGAAAUCCCGAGGCUCAACCUCGGGUCUGCAGUGGGUACGGGCAGACUGGAGUGCGGUAGGGGAGAAUGGAAUUCCUGGUGUAGCGGUGAAAUGCGCAGAUAUCAGGAAGAACACCCGUGGCUAAGGCGGUUCUCUAGUACGGUACUGACGCUGAGACGCGAAAGCGUGGGGAGCGAACAGG